rnacentral:rRNA from 1 species
CAGUCGCCACGGUAAUACGGAGGGUGCAAGCGUUAAUCGGAAUUACUGGGCGUAAAGCGUGCGCAGGCGGUUCGUUAAGACAGAUAUGAAAUCCCCGGGCUUAACCUGGGAACUGCAUUUGUGACUGGCGAGCUAGAGUAUGGCAGAGGGGGGUAGAAUUCCACGUGUAGCGGUGAAAUGCGUAGAGAUCGGGAGGAACAUCAGUGGCGAAGGCGGCCAUCUGGGACAACACUGACGCUGAGGCACGAAAGCGUGGGGAGCAAACAGGAUUAGAUACCCCCGUAGUCCCUGUCUCUUAUAC